AAUUUUUUAGCAGCACAAUCCCUUCCCAAUUAAAUGACCAGACCCAACCCUUUUUCACCUUCAGAAGAACCUAAUAUUUCAAGAACCUUUUCCAAGCGCCAGUAUAACCUAGCAAUGUCAAACUCCAAGCGGCGAUUUCCUGAUUUAUUCAAAAUGAUGCCUUAAGAAGCAGCAAACAAUGCCCUCCAAGUUCACGGCAGUGAGACAGAGAGUUCACGUCGAGAGAGAGAGUGCGUGCCUACGGUUUUGUCGUCUUCCUCGCCGUAUCUGUACAAAGUAGCGAAAGCCUAAAACCGGCACGCUUUUGUCCUUUUGUCUCGAGAUCGAGUCACGUUGACGCCAAGGACGCUAAAUUAAUCCUAUCCAUUUGUUGCCUUUCCUCUAUGGGAAUGAAUUUAGAGCUUUAGGAAAAGAUUUCAUCCUUUAAUGGUGAUAGUUUUUGGAGGAUUCAAACUUUUAAUGGGGCCCCUCUCACCGUCUCAUAUUGGUUGUGGAAUCGUCUAUAACAGUUCGAGUCUCAAUCUCUGUCCAGAAAAAGGUCUCUUUCGUUUCUUUACGUGUUGACAAAAUGUUUCCCGACCAUCUGAAGUGUCCAAGACUCCAAGUGCUAAUUUUUUAUAAGAAUAUCUUAGCUUACAGUUGACCUCAAAUCAGAAAUGUAUUAGUUUGUUUGUUACUCAAAUGUUGUUAUUUGUUCCUGUUUCUGUGAAGUUUUGUUGACUCCCAUCGGCCUCAAGUUCAUUUCUUAUUACAAGAGUUUUCUUGUUUCAUUGUUGUCUUAUUUGAUUUGCUGAAAGAGAUGGGGUUCAGCCAUGAAGUUUGAAUUCACUUUUUAUAAGUGAUCUCGGGUUUUCGUAAUAUGAUAUAUAGGUCAUUUUCUUCUUGUUAUUAUUUUAACUUAUGUAAGUCGUGUGAGCUGCCUCAUUUAUUUUCUUUAUGAUGUUUACCCUUUUUCAUUCAAAGCUAGUGUUGUGAGCAACAUGUUAGUUGUUCAUAUAUCGAUAAUUUGUGCCUGUGAA